CACGGGGGGAGCAAGCGUUGUCCGGAAUCAUUGGGCGUAAAGAGCGUGUAGGCGGCCUGUUAAGUCUUGCGUGAAAUCUCGGGGCUCAACCCCGAGCGGUCGUGAGAAACUGGCAGGCUAGAGUGCGGGAGAGGAGAGUGGAAUUCCUGGUGUAGCGGUGAAAUGCGCAGAUAUCAGGAAGAACACCCGUGGCGAAGGCGGCUCUCUGGGACGGUACUGACGCUGAGACGCGAAAGCGUGGGGAGCGAACAGG
rnacentral:rRNA from 1 species